CCAUUGAUAUGCUUCUGACUCACAAUUAUUUUCAAUUAAAGGCAAGGAAAAGAAGGUAAAUUCUCAGUGAAUGUGGACUUUGGGAGUUAGAAUUGGGGAAAGAUGUCCCUUAAAAAAAAAGACCUUAAUAUAUUUGAAGAAUAAAAAGAUGAUUUGAGUGUGGAACAGGUGAGAAGAGUCAUCAACAAGGACUGGUUCUCUGUCAUCUCUACCUAGAGGGGACUGUAUGGCCGGUCUUCCAGAGCUGGACAGUGGAGAGUAAGGAAGGUAUCUGGAGAGUUGCAGGAAAUAAAAAGCUGGACUCUUGGGAGAACAUAUUGGUGGUUGGGAUGAACAAGGAAACAAGGUGGAUGUGAACAACCUGCAGUCAGAUGCCUGGACUCACAUCAGGACUCUAAUGACUACUUCCCAAGGACCAGCCCUUUGAGGAGCUAUUGCAGAGUAUCAUUCACCUGGGCUGGAUGGUAUAACCAUAUAUUUAUAUACUCUAUCCCAAACCCAGUGAACUGAACUUUGUGACUGGAAUACAGAAACCUUCAUGUUUUCAACUUCUAGAGUGAUUUCUGAAGCAUCCAGGAUUGAGACCUUUAAAUCAUACUUUCAAAAAUCUGUCAAGUAGUUAUGGGAACGAAGGACUUGUGAUUUUGUAGUGAAUGUUACUCCCUGCCACAUACUGCAGGCUUGUUCUAUCUACCUUGGUGAUUAGUGUUUUGGGAUUAGGGAGGCUGUAUGUCCAGCCUUCCCUACUUAAACAGCAACCCCCAUCCUGAGAGGUGCUGUGUGUUCUCACCUGCUCCAGGGCACUGCACCAACAGGUCUAUGCUGUAACUGCUCCAGCCUCAGGGUGAGGAAGUAUAGGGAAAUGGAAGUCAGAGGAGAGACCCUUUGCAUAGGCAUGAACAGGAGUGUCCAGGAACAAAAGCCACAGUUCUCAGAACUGUGAAAGAGAACAGAAGGUGGAUCUUGAUCUCUGCUGAGCUGACUCACAGGUCUCAGCGGAAGAUCCUGGUUGCUUCUGUCAACGUUGAAAAGUGUUGGCAUCAGCAUUCAGGCAGUCAGUGGAUACUAAUAAUUAAUGGCUUAUCUCUGUGUGCAGGAAAAGGUCUUUCAGUCGUCAUUCUUGGUCAUUUCCCUCUUGUCAUUUAGCUCUAAUAUGAAAUAGAACCCCACUGACUUUCCUUCCAUAUACCCAGUCACAAAUUGAGAUCACUCCACUUUUUGCAUGGAAUUUUAAUUUGGACUUUUAUAAAUAUUAAGGUGUGUUUGUGUGAGUGUGCUUUCUUUUAUGCUUCUUCAGGCCAGAACCCAGUCUGUGUCUUCCCUGACUACUCUCUAUUUUAGUUUUUGAGAUAAUUUCUCUCAUUCAUUCAUCUAUGUUGGUUGGUGAGUAAACUCCAAGUAUGCUUUUGUCUCUGCUACCCAUAGCUGGGAGGACUUUCAUGAAACAUCAUAAGCAGCUUUUUAGGUGGGUGGUGAGGAUCCAACCUCAAGUGCUCGUACUUGCAGGGAAAACAUGUUACACAUUUGCUUGAAAUGCAGUAUCUACUCUUGACAGUGGAGUAAGCACCCUAUGCAUGUUAAUUAUGUCAUUUGACCUAUCCAGGUCAUUCCAUUUUAAUUAGUUUUCAAUUAAUUGAAUAUUUUAUGCUAUGUAUCUUGACCAUAUUCACCACCCCCAACUUCUUUCACAACUGUAGUGGUUUGAAUGAGAAUGGUCCCUAUAGGCUCAUAUAUUUGAAUGUUUGGUCAUUAGGGAGUGGCACUAUUUGGAAGGAUUAGGAGGUGUGACCUUGUUGGAGAAGGUGUGUCACUAGGGGUGGACUCUGAUGUUUCAGAAGCCCAAGCCAGACCCAGUGGUUCUCUUCCCCUGCUUCCUACUGAUCUGAAUGAAGAACUCUGAGCUACUUUCCCAUCACUGUCUGCCUGCCUGUCACCAUGCUCCCAUUGUGAUGGUAAUGGAAUAAAUCUCUGAAACUGUAAGCAAGCCCCAAUUAAACAUUGUUUCUUUUAA